rnacentral:rRNA from 1 species
UACGAAGGUGGCAAGCGUUGUUCGGAUUUACUGGGCGUAAAGGGAGCGUAGGUGGUUUGGUAAGCCCUCCGGGAAAUCUUCAGGCUUAACCUGAAAAGGUCGGGGGGGACUGCCUAGCUAGAGGACGGGAGAGGAGCGCGGAAUUCCCGGUGUAGCGGUGAAAUGCGUAGAGAUCGGGAGGAAGGCCGGUGGCGAAGGCGGCGCUCUGGAACGUUUCUGACACUGAGGCUCGAAAGCGUGGGGAGCAAAC